rnacentral:rRNA from 1 species
AGAGUUUGAUCAUGGCUCAGAUUGAACGCUGGCGGCAUGCCUUACACAUGCAAGUCGAACGGUAACAGGUCUUCGGAUGCUGACGAGUGGCGAACGGGUGAGUAAUACAUCGGAACGUGCCCGAUCGUGGGGGAUAACGGAGCGAAAGCUUUGCUAAUACCGCAUACGAUCUACGGAUGAAAGCAGGGGACCGCAAGGCCUUGCGCGGACGGAGCGGCCGAUGGCAGAUUAGGUAGUUGGUGGGAUAAAAGCUUACCAAGCCGACGAUCUGUAGCUGGUCUGAGAGGACGACCAGCCACACUGGGACUGAGACACGGCCCAGACUCCUACGGGAGGCAGCAGUGGGGAAUUUUGGACAAUGGGCGCAAGCCUGAUCCAGCCAUGCCGCGUGCAGGAUGAAGGCCUUCGGGUUGUAAACUGCUUUUGUACGGAACGAAAAGACUCUGGUUAAUACCUGGGGUCCAUGACGGUACCGUAAGAAUAAGCACCGGCUAACUACGUGCCAGCAGCCGCGGUAAUACGUAGGGUGCAAGCGUUAAUCGGAAUUACUGGGCGUAAAGCGUGCGCAGGCGGUGAUGUAAGACAGAUGUGAAAUCCCCGGGCUCAACCUGGGAACUGCAUUUGUGACUGCAUCGCUGGAGUACGGCAGAGGGGGAUGGAAUUCCGCGUGUAGCAGUGAAAUGCGUAGAUAUGCGGAGGA